rfam:Canis lupus familiaris chromosome 26, whole genome shotgun sequence.
GUGCUCACUUCGGUAGCACAUACAUUAAAAUUGGAAGGACACAGAGAUUAGCACAGCCUUUGUGCAAGGAUGACACACAAAUCUGUGAAGCAUGUUAUUUUAAA